rnacentral:rRNA from 1 species
GACGAACGCUGGCGGCGUGCUUAACACAUGCAAGUCGAACGGUAAGGCCCUUCGGGGUACACGAGUGGCGAACGGGUGAGUAACACGUGGGUGAUCUGCCCUGCACUUCGGGAUAAGCCUGGGAAACUGGGUCUAAUACCGGAUAGGACCCUGGGAUGCAUGUCCUGGGGUGGAAAGCUUUUGCGGUGUGGGAUGGGCCCGCGGCCUAUCAGCUUGUUGGUGGGGUGAUGGCCUACCAAGGCGACGACGGGUAGCCGGCCUGAGAGGGUGACCGGCCACACUGGGAAUGAGAAACGGCCCCGACUCCUACGGGAGGCAGCAGUGGGGAAUAUUGCACAAUGGGCGCAAGCCUGAUGCAGCGACGCCGCGUGAGGGAUGACGGCCUUCGGGUUGUAAACCUCUUUCAGCACCGACGAAGCGCAAGUGACGGUAGGUGCAGAAGAAGCACCGGCUAACUACGUGCCAGCCGCCGCCGUAA